UAAAGGCGGGCGGACGACGGACGACGGACCAUUUUAUAAACACAUGAUUACUACCGCAACUAAUAAUAAUACUCUAAAUUAAAGUAUACCAGGCUACCAGCCUUAGAUCUGUGAAAGGAAUAUGUUUUCACCCGUUCGAAUUUUUAGCAAUGGAAUUUAAUUUGAUACUUAUGUAUGAUGGCUAUACGCUGUCUUUCUCGGGAAACUUAAACUUUUGGAAAUAUUGUAAAAAAGCGCCUUAGUUUUGGAGCUUCUGUUUGGCAGAAUUAAAUGAUGAUGACAUUAACUUGCUGACAUUUUCGUAGUUUAAAUAGUGCUGUCUUGUUGUUUUAUAAUGAAAAUAAUCUCCGUUUUAAUUAUAAACCUACGAGGUUCACACGUAGAAAUGGCCGAUUUGCAUGCGACGACUAUUCUAUAUAUGGAUUUUAGAAAUAUUAUGUAUUAGGGGUGGACCAUUUGAUGGGGUGGAUUUUCAUUGAGCCCAAUAAUCAGUUUUUAAACCUCCUAAUGCUUGCUCGAUAUUUUUCUGUCAUUCAAGGCUCUUCAACGAUUGUUUUAUUUCGGGGACACAUAUAGGUAGUAAGUAUUGAAUAUAGGCUAUGGAUCGUGAUUUAAGAGAAUUUUUUAUAAAGUUUGGACAUGCAAAUGUUCACAAUUGUAGUAUAUUUACAAUUGUAUAUAUUUGUAAUUUCCUGACAUAUUCAUGUAAAUAUUGUAUAUUAUAAUAUCUACUAUAUAUGUAAAUGUCACACAGUAAUCAGUGUAACAAGCUGUUUGAAAAUGUAUAUAUGUGUAACGUCAACUUGGGCAAUGUAAGUUGUGCAGCAGCGUAAAUAUUGGGUAUUCUAUUACGUAGUAUUUAAAACACUAGAAGGAGUGUUUUAUCGUAUUUAAAACGCGAGGCGCAGCCGAGCGUUUUAGAUAUGAUAAAACGCGAGUUCGAGUGUUCUGAAUAGCUUAAAAUACGACUACAAAAGAAUACUAAUUAGGAUGAACAAUUAUAUAAUCAUACUAAUUAGGAUGAACAAUUAUAUAAUGAAUGGGACCGGCUAAAGUCGCUAAACGGAGAGUUAUGAAGCGGAGAGUUAUCUCAGAGAGUUAUGAUUUCGGAGAGUUAUGUUCGAACCACACCCAAACCACGCCCACUUUUUCCAACGACCACACCCAAUUUCUUAACUCUCCUGAC